UCCGGGUUGUCGGCGGAGGAUUGCUCCUCCGUGGGCCAUCUAUCAAAUAGCCAUGCAACACCUGUGCUAGCCCCUUACGGACACGGGCUUUCACCCGCUUUAACUAGCAUGUCAAACCCAGGUAAGGUUCUUCGCGUUGCAUCGAAUUAAGCCACAUGCUCCGCCGCUUGUGCGGGCCCCCGUCAAUUCCUUUGAGUUUUAGCCUUGCGGCCGUACUCCCCAGGCGGGGUGCUUAAUGCGUUAGCUUCGGCACGGAAAGGGUUGAAGACCUCCCCACACCUAGCACCCAACGUUUACGGCUGGGACUAC
rnacentral:misc_RNA from 1 species